rnacentral:rRNA from 1 species
GACGAACGCUGGCGGCGUGCUUAACACAUGCAAGUCGAACGGAAAGGCCCGGCUUUUGUUGGGUUCUCGAGUGGCGAACGGGUGAGUAACACGUGAGUAACCUUCCCUUAACUUUGUGGUAACUUCAGGAGACUGGGGCUAAUACCGCAUAGGAUCUCCUGCUCCGUGGUGUGGGUUGGAAAGUUUCGGCUGUUGUGUCUGGACUCGCGGCUUAUCAGCUUGUUGGUGUGGUAGUGGCUUACCAAGGCUUUGACGGGUAGCCGGCAUGAGAGGGUGACCGGCCACAUUGGGCCUGAGAUACGGCCCAGACUCCUACGGGAGGCAGCAGUGGGGAAUAUUGCACAAUGGGCGGAAGUCUGAUGUAGCAACGCCGCGUGCGAGAUGCCGGCCUUCGGGUUGUAAACAGAUUUCGCAUGUGACGAAGCGUGCGUGACGGUAAUGGGUAAAGAAGCACCGGCUAACUACGUG